rnacentral:rRNA from 1 species
AGUAAUGGCAGGUCAGCAUACUGCCGUGAAUACGUUCCCGGGCCUUGUACACACCGCCGUCACACCAUGAGAGUUGGGAAUACCCGAAGCCUGUGAGCUAACUUAUAGAGGCAGCAGUCGAAGGUAGAAUCAAUGAUUGGGGUGAAGUCGUAACAAGGUAAC